rnacentral:rRNA from 1 species
GGGUUGUGAGGUUAAGCGACUAAGCGUACACGGUGGAUGCCCUGGCAGUCAGAGGCGAUGAAGGGCGUGCUAAUCUGCGAUAAGCGCCGGUAAGGUGAUAUGAACCGUUAUAACCGGCGAUACCCGAAUGGGGAAACCCAGUGUGACUCGUCACACUAUCAUUAACUGAAUCCAUAGGUUAAUGAGGCGAACCGGGGGAACUGAAACAUCUAAGUACCCCGAGGAAAAGAAAUCAACCGAGAUUCCCCCAGUAGCGGCGAGCGAACGGGGAGGAGCCCAGAGCCUGAAUCAGCAUGUGUGUUAGUGGAAGCGUCUGGAAAGGCGCGCGAUACAGGGUGACAGCCCCGUACACAAAAGCGCAUGUGCUGUGAGCUCGAUGAGUAGGGCGGGACACGUGGUAUCCUGUCUGAAUAUGGGGGGACCAUCCUCCAAGGCUAAAUACUCCUGACUGACCGAUAGUGAACCAGUACCGUGAGGGAAAGGCGAAAAGAACCCCGGCGAGGGGAGUGAAAAAGAACCUGAAACCGUGUACGUACAAGCAGUGGGAGCACCCUUUUGGGUGUGACUGCGUACCUUUUGUAUAAUGGGUCAGCGACUUAUAUUCUGUAGCAAGGUUAACCGAAUAGGGGAGCCGGAGGGAAACCGAGUCUUAACCGGGCGUUAAGUUGCAGGGUAUAGACCCGAAACCCGGUGAUCUAGCCAUGGGCAGGUUGAAGGUUGGGUAACACUAACUGGAGGACCGAACCGACUAAUGUUGAAAAAUUAGCGGAUGACCUGUGGCUGGGGGUGAAAGGCCAAUCAAACCGGGAGAUAGCUGGUUCUCCCCGAAAGCUAUUUAGGUAGCGCCUCGUGAAUUCAUCUCCGGGGGUAGAGCACUGUUUCGGCUAGGGGGCCAUCCCGGCUUACCAACCCGAUGCAAACUGCGAAUACCGGAGAAUGUUAUCACGGGAGACACACGGCGGGUGCUAACGUCCGUCGUGAAGAGGGAAACAACCCAGACCGCCAGCUAAGGUCCCAAAGUCAUGGUUAAGUGGGAAACGAUGUGGGAAGGCCCAGACAGCCAGGAUGUUGGCUUAGAAGCAGCCAUCAUUUAAAGAAAGCGUAAUAGCUCACUGGUCGAGUCGGCCUGCGCGGAAGAUGUAACGGGGCUAAACCAUGCACCGAAGCUGCGGCAGCGACGCUUAUGCGUUGUUGGGUAGGGGAGCGUUCUGUAAGCCUGUGAAGGUGGCCUGUGAGGGUUGCUGGAGGUAUCAGAAGUGCGAAUGCUGACAUAAGUAACGAUAAAGCGGGUGAAAAGCCCGCUCGCCGGAAGACCAAGGGUUCCUGUCCAACGUUAAUCGGGGCAGGGUGAGUCGACCCCUAAGGCGAGGCCGAAAGGCGUAGUCGAUGGGAAACGGGUUAAUAUUCCCGUACUUGGUGUUACUGCGAAGGGGGGACGGAGAAGGCUAUGUUGGCCGGGCGACGGUUGUCCCGGUUUAAGCGUGUAGGUGUGUGUUCCAGGUAAAUCCGGUUCACUUUAACACUGAGGCGUGACGACGAGGCACUACGGUGCUGAAGCAACAAAUGCCCUGCUUCCAGGAAAAGCCUCUAAGCAUCAGGUAACAUCAAAUCGUACCCCAAACCGACACAGGUGGUCAGGUAGAGAAUACCAAGGCGCUUGAGAGAACUCGGGUGAAGGAACUAGGCAAAAUGGUGCCGUAACUUCGGGAGAAGGCACGCUGACACGUAGGUGAAGUGAUUUACUCACGGAGCUGAAGUCAGUCGAAGAUACCAGCUGGCUGCAACUGUUUAUUAAAAACACAGCACUGUGCAAACACGAAAGUGGACGUAUACGGUGUGACGCCUGCCCGGUGCCGGAAGGUUAAUUGAUGGGGUCAGCGCAAGCGAAGCUCCUGAUCGAAGCCCCGGUAAACGGCGGCCGUAACUAUAACGGUCCUAAGGUAGCGAAAUUCCUUGUCGGGUAAGUUCCGACCUGCACGAAUGGCGUAAUGAUGGCCAGGCUGUCUCCACCCGAGACUCAGUGAAAUUGAACUCGCUGUGAAGAUGCAGUGUACCCGCGGCAAGACGGAAAGACCCCGUGAACCUUUACUAUAGCUUGACACUGAACAUUGAGCCUUGAUGUGUAGGAUAGGUGGGAGGCUUUGAAGCGUGGACGCCAGUCUGCGUGGAGCCGACCUUGAAAUACCACCCUUUAAUGUUUGAUGUUCUAACGUGGACCCGUUACCCGGGUUGCGGACAGUGUCUGGUGGGUAGUUUGACUGGGGCGGUCUCCUCCUAAAGAGUAACGGAGGAGCACGAAGGUUGGCUAAUCCUGGUCGGACAUCAGGAGGUUAGUGCAAUGGCAUAAGCCAGCUUGACUGCGAGCGUGACGGCGCGAGCAGGUGCGAAAGCAGGUCAUAGUGAUCCGGUGGUUCUGAAUGGAAGGGCCAUCGCUCAACGGAUAAAAGGUACUCCGGGGAUAACAGGCUGAUACCGCCCAAGAGUUCAUAUCGACGGCGGUGUUUGGCACCUCGAUGUCGGCUCAUCACAUCCUGGGGCUGAAGUAGGUCCCAAGGGUAUGGCUGUUCGCCAUUUAAAGUGGUACGCGAGCUGGGUUUAGAACGUCGUGAGACAGUUCGGUCCCUAUCUGCCGUGGGCGCUGGAGAACUGAGGGGGGCUGCUCCUAGUACGAGAGGACCGGAGUGGACGCAUCACUGGUGUUCGGGUUGUCAUGCCAAUGGCACUGCCCGGUAGCUAAAUGCGGAAGAGAUAAGUGCUGAAAGCAUCUAAGCACGAAACUUGCCCCGAGAUGAGUUCUCCCUGAGACUUA